UUUAUAUUUGAAAAAGAAACCUAGCAUCCUGGUUUUCUCUGGGAAAAUCUUAAAGAUUUGCUGUAACUGAGCCUGCAUUUCCUUAACACAAAUCUGCUGGAGCUGAACAUUUGCUGCUGCUUCCUUUAAACUUGACCUCAAUCACGAAGGUCUUCAUCAACUCACUCAGUGCUUUCACAUGUACUUAUACCCAGCACAUGCAUUGGCUAUGACCUUGCAGAAUUUGGCAUUAGCAACCUCAAAAACUCUGGAAAAGGCUUCAUUUUCUCCAGUCUCCUGGGAGAGGAGAGGCACCAUGAAGGCAGACCCAUCCAGAGAACACCUGCGACAGGCUGAGAAGAAGCAAAAUAUAAACUAGUUAAUUUGAUCUCCAAGAGUUAAGCGGUUUUAAUAUUACUGACAGUAAUAUCAGCAGUGGUGUUGGAACCCCAUGAUCUCAUGAAUCAUAGAUGAGCAACUGCUUACUGGACAUUGAAGCUUUAUGGCCAGCUGCCAAAAAAAUAAAUGCACCUUAAUUUUUAAAUUGAAUUAUAAAGCCAAAAAUAUCCUAUUGCUCUAUUCCUCUUAUUUUGGUGUUUACAUGUGACUUUAUAAUUUCCUUCACUUGAAAGAUUUUAACUUUAAAGGAAACUUUACUCUGAACGUUUAGGACAAUUCAUAGAUAAUCAAAUUGAUUAUCAUGUUUUCAAUGUUAAAUAUUACUUCAUAUGUCUUUUUACAACCUUCAGAAUAAGAAAGCCAGCUAUGAAAUACCAAGUCUUGACUAGUAGUGCCACCUAGCAUCACAAAGAAAAAGUUGUUCAACUACUUUGCAAAGCAUUGGAAAUUUAUCAAAUCAUCUAAUAUACUAUCUCCUUGAUCCUUAAUCCAGAGGAAAAUAAGCAGACAUGAUCAAUUAGAAGAAAUGUACACAAAACCUAUGUAAUUUUAGAGAUAGUAUACUACAUAUUAUGAAUGUUUGUGUUUUAGUAAGAUGUAGUUAUGAGAUGUAGCAGUAAGAUAUAAUUUCUGGUUUGCUGACUGAUAUGCUACCGGUUUUUCCUACAAUUUAAGAAAACAUAUUGGGAUUCAAAUGAAUAAAAAUAAUGUUUGUGUACUGAAAU
rnacentral:lncRNA from 1 species